UGGUGCAAGGAUAAAACGAAAAAACCUUUUAAGGUAAACAUAGCACCAGACUAAAGAGAAUCUAUUCAUUUACAGAUGAACAAAUUUAUUUUUCAAAAGGAUAACAAAAACUUCUUAACAAGUGAAACACAGUCGUUUUGAUGGAGUGAAGACUUAGUCAAAAUACUUGAUGGACAAACCAUGAUGUUUGAAAACACUUAAUCAAAGCAUUAGUUUAAGAGAAGAAUCUAUUCAUUUAUGCAGUAGGGUAUUUUUGCAAAACAUGUGAAAAACAGUUUCAGUUUCAGAAAACUUGUGCUUGCUCUUAUCACAUGGUCAAGGGUUAAGAGCUGAGUUACCUAAGAAGAAGAAGAAGAAGAAGAAGAAAAAGAAAAAGAAGCCGCGAAACGUCAAAACAAUCUCAACCGUUAGAUCUUUUAGAUCCCAAACCCCUCAUUAAUGCAGGUCAUGUCACGCCGUCGAAGGUCACAUCACACCUCGGGAAGCUCAAUAGUCACGAACCCAAGGGAGGUCGAUCGACAUCCAUUAUUAAAGACUCAUCGGACAUAUCCGUCCUCGAGCUUGGGGGCAAGUGUACUGGUAUGGGCGAGACCGAGAUUCGGUCUUCCUGACUGAGAUUAGGGAAACUUGAUCGAGACCAAGGAAAUCUGGCCGAGACCAAGGAAAUCUGGCCAAGACAAGGGAAACCACCACGGACGGCCCGACUGACACAUAAAUCCAUUAACGCUCAAACCAAGGUCAGUGAAGCUAAUAUGUCAUUAAGGAUUAGGUAAUACAUCCAUAAGUGUGAUCCAUUCCACUAAUCAGGCCCAAUAAGGUAAGCCCAUUAAAAUAAUAUAAAUAACACACAUUUCAAGGAGAAAGGUACGUCAUUUAUUACUGUGCACCUAUCCAAAUACCGAUCACCCGCUUUACUGACUUGAGCGUCGGAGUGCCUUCCGCAGGUACCCCCCAUUAGAUGUUCACCCAAGGCCGAGAGCCGAAGGAGAAGCACGAAGACGAGAAGGACCCUAGUCAGGCACCCCACAACCUGCCCGACCGAAGGAGGAAGACAAAGACUUCAAUAGUUCUCUAGGUCCCAUCUCCCUAGCAGGAACAAAAAAAAAAGUAUAAAAAUAAAAAAAAUUAUAAUAUAUUUAAACAAGAGCAUAAUAUAAGUAAAAAAAAAAUACCAAGUUAUCUUUUCUUCUUGAAAGACAUAGCACCACCCUUUUAUUUCUAUUACACAUGUUAUACAAAGUGAAAAUGAAGUUAGUCCAAAUCUAUUGAGUAAAUUAAAUAAGUCUAAAGAUAUUUCAAUGUAAGUUGUGCACUCU
rnacentral:lncRNA from 1 species